rnacentral:rRNA from 1 species
GACGAACGCUGGCGGCAUGCCUAAUACAUGCAAGUCGAGCGGACAGAAGGGAGCUUGCUCCCGGAAGUCAGCGGCGGACGGGUGAGUAACACGUGGGCAACCUGCCCCUUAGAUUGGGAUAACUUCGGGAAACCGAAGCUAAUACCGAAUAAUACAAGGAACCUCCUGGUUCUCUGUUGAAAGAUGGCCUUUGUGCUGUCACUAAGGGAUGGGCCCGCGGCGCAUUGGCUGGUUGGUAAGGUAACGGCUUACCAAGGCGACGAUGCGUAGCCGACCUGGGGGGGUGGUCGGCAACACGGGGAAUGAGGCAGGGCCCUGACUCCUACGGGAGGCAGCAGUAGGGAAUCUUCGGCAAUGUACGAAAGUCUGACCGGGCAAUGCCGGGUGAGUGAGGAAGGCCUUCGUGUCGUAAAGGGCUGUUGUGGGGGAAGAACAAGUACCGGCGUAACUACCGGUACGGUGACGGUGCCUCACCAGAAAGCCACGGCUAACUACGUGCCAGCCGCCGCAGUAA